AAAUAGUGUUCUUGACUGGAAAAAUCCCUGGGACUUGCAAACGGAGGACCUGUGUGCAUGUGCAUAGCCAUCUUCAGACUUCAAAUCACUUGUGUCUCCAUGAGUCUGCUGCUUUCUCUGGUGUUGCUGCACACCUGAAGCCAUGGACUUGGUCUCYGCUAUGAUCUCCAAUCUGUAUGGACUUACUUGCU